GAAGGCCUGUAUAAUUUUAAUAUACAUCUACUGAAUGCAACUCAAACACUUUAACUAAGCUAAGACCUCCUAGAUCAACGG
rnacentral:tRNA from 1 species